UACGAAGGGUGCAAGCGUUACUCGGAAUUACUGGGCGUAAAGCGUGCGUAGGCGGUUUGUUAAGUCUGUCGUGAAAGCCCCGGGCUCAACCUGAGAAUGGCGAUGGAUACUGGCGAGCUAGAGUACGGUAGAGGAGAGUGGAAUUCCCGGUGUAGCAGUGAAAUGCGUAGAGAUCGGGAGGAACAUCAGUUGCGAAGGCGGCUCUCUGGACCAGUACUGACGCUGAGGCACGAAAGCGUGGGGAGCAAACAGG
rnacentral:rRNA from 1 species